rnacentral:lncRNA from 1 species
CUGUCAGAGGGACUUCUCCAGAUGAUGCAGCAGCAACAAAGUUGAUAACAAGAGCAGCAACAUUUACUGUGAGCUGAAAUUGAAUAAACUUUUGAAUGUUAUUAUAUACGCACCUACCCCACUUCAAGACUGUGACCACUGUAUUGAAGUUGUCAUCCAAGAUAACUAUAUCGGAACUCUCCUUUGCAACUUCUGUGCCUUGGAUUCCCAUGGAAAGUCCAACAUCUGCGGCUUUUAAUGCAGGAGCAUCAUUUGUUCCAUCGCCUGUUACUGCUACAACAUGGCCUUUCUGCUUCAAACAUUCAACCAUCAAAAGCUUAUCAAAUGGUGAAGAUCUUGCCAUAACGCGUAUUCUUUCAACAAUCUUCAUUCUCUCUUCUUGUGAGUAAUUCCUGAAUGUCGGCCCUUCAAUUACUGCAAUAUUCAAGUCUUCAGCUGGUUGGAGAAUUCCACAUUCAAGAGCUAUUGAUUUGGCUGUGAACACAUUGUCCCCAGUAAUCAUUUUUAUGCUAACACCAGCAGCCCUGCAGGAUUCUACUGCCUCUUUUACACCAGGCCUACAUGGGUCCUUUAGACCCACUAGACCCAAUAAGGUUAGUUCGGUUUCUUCAAGAAUUUGACUUUCUGGAUUGCUUUCUUUGCAAGCAAAUGCAAUACAUCGCAAGCUCUUGCUUGCCAUAUAUUUGAUCUUCAACUCAAGUUCUUUUCUUUCUUCAUGAUCUAUAGGUGAAAUUAUUCCACCUUUGACAUAAUAAGUGGAGCACAUAGCUAGAAUCAUCUCUGCAGCACCCUUCCAAUGUGUAUGAACUUUCCCUGUAUUAUUUUUUAUUAACAAUACCCCACUUCUUUUCUUUUGUGAAUUGAAAACUUCAACAUGGAGGAUUCGAUGCUCUCGAUUUAAUUCAUUAAAGUUCACUAGUAAACUGGUCAUGGCCCAUGAUAAAAUCGCUUUCUCAGUUGGGCCACCAGAGAUUUCUGGAGGACCAGAAGGUGACGUGUAAACUUCACCUGUAGUGUUCAAACCAGCAGCCUCUUGUAGCAGUUCAAGAACUUCAGGUGCUAUCUGUGAUGUCGUCAUAAUCAUAUCUGUUCCUAACCAAAAUUCAGUUACCUGCAGAGGUAAAAGCAGAAUUUAGAUUUGAUUAGUUCAACCUUUAAUAAGUUCUUACUAUUGAAUUCGUUGCACUUUCAAAUUUAUGGAUUCAAAAUUUAGUAAAUUUUUAAGUAUUUAUGCGCCGUAUGGAAGUUAGUGGGUUAAGUUGAACCCAGUAAACAAGGCUGCAUCCAUUACCUGCAUCUUGUUUAAGGUGAGAGUUCCGGUUUUGUCUGUGCAGAUGGUAGUUGCUGAUCCCAUUGUCUCACAUGCAGAUAGCUUACGGACCAUUGCAUGAUCGAGCAUCAUUCUUCUCAUAGAAUAUGCCAAAGUUAGUGUGACAGCCAAUGGCAGACCUUCUGGAAUUGCAACCACUAUGAUGGUUACUGCUGCAGCAAUCAUACG